AACACACCAUUUUCACCAAAAUGCUUUUUACUAAUUUUUUUUUAUGGAUUAAAUGCAUACAACUCUUUAUAAACAUAUCGAAUAAUAAAUAUAUUCUCAUAAAGUUUAAUUUUUUAUUUUUAUUCAUGUAAAAAUAUAGUAACAUUCAUAUUUGCCCAUUUGAUUUGUUAGUGCUACAACACUUUAUUUUUUACCCAAUAAUAUAAGAUGAGUAAAAAUAUGAAUUUAGCUCAUUCAUUAACUAAAAUUAAAUAUUUUACUCACGUUUAGCUAUUUUUUUUAACGAUCCUGACAGUAGAGAUAUAUUUGAAAAUAAUAUAUUUUUUGCAGAGGUAAAAAUAAAAAAUUAAAGUUUAUAGGAAUAUACGUGGUAUUCAAUAUAUUUAUAAGGAGCUUUAUGCAAUUAAUCCUAUUUUUAAACCCGAAAUUAGAUUAACAAAUCACAAAUCGUACUAAAUUACUACUACAUAAUAAUAAUACUAACUAACAAUAAAUAAUAAUAAUUUCUAAAAAU
rnacentral:lncRNA from 1 species